rnacentral:rRNA from 1 species
UACGGGGGGGGCAAGCGUUGUUCGGAAUUACUGGGCGUAAAGGGCUCGUAGGCGGCCAACUAAGUCAGACGUGAAAUCCCUCGGCUUAACCGGGGAACUGCGUCUGAUACUGGAUGGCUUGAGUUUGGGAGAGGGAUGCGGAAUUCCAGGUGUAGCGGUGAAAUGCGUAGAUAUCUGGAGGAACACCGGUGGCGAAGGCAGCCCCCUGGGGUAACACUGACGCUCAUGCACGAAAGCGUGGGGAGCAAACAGG